GAAAAAGGUUUAAAGAAAUUCGUAGAAAAAAAUCCACCACCUAAGAAAAUAGAAUCAAGAAUUGAGAGUUUUAAUCUUAGCCUUGUGAAGAAACCAAAGCCACCUGAAUUACCACUUUUAUUACCUAGAAUGAUUGCUAGAGUUUUAAUCUUAGUCUUGUGAAGAAACCAAAGCCACCUGAAUUACCACUUUUAUUACCUAGAAUGAUUGCUAUUGUUAAAAAUUCUAACAAUCCUUAUUAUAUGUAUUGUGGGAUUGUGCAAAGGAUUACUGAUGGAAAAGCUGCUGUACU
rnacentral:lncRNA from 1 species